rnacentral:rRNA from 1 species
CGGGGUGCAGCAGGCGCGAAAACUCUACAAUGCAGGCAACUGCGAUAGGGGAACAUCGAGUGAUCCUCAUAUUGGGGGUCUGUCCCACCGUCUAAAAAACGGGGGUUAGCAAGGGCCGGGCAAGACCGGUGCCAGCCGCCGCGGUAAUACCGGCGGCUCGAGUGGUGGCCGAUAUUAUUGAGUCUAAAGGGUCCGUAGCCGGCUUUGCAAGUCUCUCGGGAAAUCCAGCGGCUUAACCGUUGGUCGUCCGGGGGGUACUACAUUGCUUGGGACUGGGAGAGGUAGGAGGUACUCAGGGGGUAGGAGUGAAAUCCUGUAAUCCUUUGGGGACCACCGGUGGCGAAGGCGUCCUACCAGAACAGGUCCGACGGUGAGGGACGAAAGCUAGGGGCACGAACCGGAUUAGAUACCCGGGUAGUCCUAGCCGUAAACGAUGCUCGCUAGGUGUCACAACAGUCGUGAACUGUUGUGGUGCCGUAGGGAAGCCGUGAAGCGAGCCACUUGGGAAGUACGACCGCAAGGUUGAAACUUAAAGGAAUUGGCGGGGGAGCACAAGGGCGAUUCGCG